rnacentral:SRP_RNA from 1 species
GCCGGGUGCGGUGGCAUGUGCCUGUAAUCCAAGUCACUGGGAGGCUGAGGUUGGUGGAUCAAGUGAGCUGAGGAGCUCUGGGCUGCAGCACUGCUAUGUCGAACGGGUGUCCACGCUAAGUUCGGUAUCGAUAUGGUGUUCCUAGGGGGAGCCCGGGACCACCAGGUUGUCUAAGGAGGGGUGAACCGUGCCAGGUCGGAAACGAAGCAUGUCAAAUCCCCCGUGCUGUCCAGUAGUGGGAUAAUACCUGUGAGUAGAUGCUGCAGUGCAGCCUUGGCAAAACAUUGAGACCUAAUCUUUU